rnacentral:tRNA from 2 species
GAGGAUAUAGCUCAGUGGCACAGUGUGUGCCUAGUAUGUGCAAGGACCUGGAUUCAAUCCCCAGUAACCCCC